CCUACGGGAGGCAGCAGUGAGGAAUAUUGGUCAAUGGACGAGAGUCUGAACCAGCCAAGUAGCGUGAAGGAUGACUGCCCUAUGGGUUGUAAACUUCUUUUAUAUGGGAAUAAAAUGUUCCACGUGUGGGAUUUUGUAUGUACCAUAUGAAUAAGGAUCGGCUAACUCCGUGCCAGCAGCCGCGGUAAUACGGAGGAUCCGAGCGUUAUCCGGAUUUAUUGGGUUUAAAGGGAGCGUAGGUGGAGUGUUAAGUCAGUUGUGAAAGUUUGGGGCUCAACCGUAAAAUUGCAGUUGAAACUGGCAGUCUUGAGUACAGUAGAGGUGGGCGGAAUGCGUGGUGUAGCGGUGAAAUGCUUAGAUAUCACGAAGAACUCCGAUUGCGAAGGCAGUUCACUGGACUGCAACUGACACUGAGGCUCGAAAGUGUGGGUAUCAAACAGGAUUAGAUACCCGGGUAGUC
rnacentral:rRNA from 1 species